AGAACUUUGUGGAUUCUCAUUCUGCGGUGCUGUGUAUGUCGGUAUGUCCCACGGAAAACAUACUUCGAGGUGUAAAUUGAAUAUUAUAUAUUUAUCUAAUUACAUUUUAGUGGAAAAUGUUUAUAGUUUGGUUGAUGGAUGUUAGUCUUGCAAAAUUAGCUUGACUGGAACCAGGUUUUUGAUAAUUGGUGGCAUAACUGUUGCUGCUUCUCAUCGACCUUUUACAUUGUUGCACCUUAAGUUUGACAUGUUUUGGGUUAUAAAUAAGCCAAACAAAUCACUGUGAGUUAGUUAACUGAAGCGUCCUGUUGUCUAUUGUGUGUGUGAAUCUGAGUUA
rnacentral:misc_RNA from 1 species